rnacentral:rRNA from 1 species
AACGAACGCUGGCGGCAUGCCUAACACAUGCAAGUCGAACGAGACCUUCGGGUCUAGUGGCGCACGGGUGCGUAACGCGUGGGAACCUGCCCUUAGGUUCGGAAUAACUCCCCGAAAGGGGUGCUAAUACCGGAUCAUGUCUUCGGACCAAAGAUUUAUCGCCUUUGGAUGGGCCCGCGUUGGAUUAGCUAGUUGGUAGGGUAAAAGCCUACCAAGGCGACGAUCCAUAGCUGGUCUGAGAGGAUGAUCAGCCACACUGGGACUGAGCCACGGCCCAGACUACUACGGGAGGCAGCAGUGGGGAAUAUUGGACAAUGGGCGAAAGCCUGAUCCAGCAAUGCCGCGUGAGUGAUGAAGGCCUUAGGGUUGUAAAGCUCUUUUACCCGGGAUGAUAAUGACAGUACCGGGAGAAUAAGCUCCGGCUAACUCCGUG